rnacentral:snRNA from 1 species
GUACUUGCUUUGGCAGCACGUAUACUAAAUUUGGAAUGGUAUAGGAAAGACUAGCAAGGAUAACAUGCAAAUUCAUGAACCAUUCCAUAUUUUU